rnacentral:lncRNA from 1 species
ACAACAAGGGUUCAUUUCUCUCAAACCCUGCAUGUCCAUUACAGGUUAGCUGCACCUCUACUCCACGUGUUCCUCCCUUCAGGUCCCAGGCUGAUGGAGUAGCCUCUGUGUGUUUGGGAUGUUGUCAGUCAUAAUGGUGGACACAAAAGAGAUUAUGACAAACCGUGUAUUGUCUCCUACAAUUUCUGCUCACAGAAGUGGACAACAUCACUUCUUUCCACAUUUCAUUGACCAGAGCAAGUCAUGUGACCAAGCCUGAUUCAAAAUAGGCUGGAGCAAGGAGGAGCAGCAAACAUAACAUUCCCAGUUUACAGCUGAGGAAAUUAAGCUUCAAGUUGCCCAAGUUUAUAGAAUGAGUCAAUGGCAGAGGUUGAACUCAGAUGACAAAAUUGGGGUCUGGACGUGUGCAAGGACUUUUCCAAAGUCAGCUGGAAAGGAGCUGCUUAGCUGAGAGGUUCUGGCUCCAGAGUCUCCUGUGAAGUUGCAGUCAAGAUGUCUGCUGGGACCCCAGUCAUUUGAAGCCCUGUCUGGGGCAGGAGAAUCUAGGUCCAAAAUGGCCGUUGCAGGAGUCCUUAUCCACACCAUGUGGGACCUCUUCAUAGAUGUUCGAGUGUCCUCAUGGCAUGGCCACUGGCUUUCCCCAAAACAAUCAACAAAACUGAAAAAGCCCAGCCUUGUAGCAUUUGCCAGUUAUUGUGUAAAUGUCCCCACUAUGGUGGAUUUCAGGUUACCACUAUGAUAUCACAGAAUGCAGAAUUGGAAGGAGAUUCACAGCAGCACCCCAUUAUACUAUAUUUUCACCAUACAGAUGCAGUCGAUGUAAAUUACCUGAGGAGCAUAAAUAAUAAUAAAAUGAAGUUAAAUAAUUCGGAAAUGAUUUUGAAAAUUGUGUUGGUUUUUAAUGUAAG